rnacentral:rRNA from 1 species
UACGUAGGGUGCGAGCGUUGUCCGGAAUUAUUGGGCGUAAAGAGCUCGUAGGCGGUGUGUCACGUCGUUCGUGAAAACCUGCAGCUUAACUGUGGGCGUGCGGUCGAUACGGGCAUCACUGGAGUUCGGCAGGGGAGACUGGAAUUCCUGGUGUAGCGGUGAAAUGCGCAGAUAUCAGGAGGAACUCCGAUGGCGAAGGCAGGUCUCUGGGCCACUACUGACGCUGAGAAGCGAAAGCAUGGGGAGCGAACAGG